UACAGGAGCUCUGCGGUAGAGUGCUUGCCUCACAUGCAUGAGGCCCUAGGUUCAAUCCCCAGUACUGAAA
rnacentral:tRNA from 1 species